GACAGUGGGCGGAGUCAGUUAUCACGGAGAGAGAGGCGCAGGAUCGAAGCCACAGGGUGGACCCGGACCAUGAUUAUUCAUCAAAUGUCUUUCUGACAGUUUUUAUGAUCACAGAACAUCAAAAGAACGAGUUGAUGAAUGAUGGAAAGAGAUCCUGAGGAGGGUCGGUCUGUUUUCGGAUUUAACUGGAAAACUUCCAACAGAGUAAUGUAAACUGCAGUCACACCCAGACUCAAGUUGAAGCUUUAAAAGAAGAAGAAGAAGGGGCGCGGAGGAGAGGCGACCUUUGACAUCUAACCUCCCACUGGUGGAAUAACCUUUGAUAUGAGUGAGGAGGAAAAAUGCAGAGAGCUGCAGAUGUGCCAACAGAGCUCCAUUCUGCUGUCCAACAUCUAAACACUGCAGUGUCUGUGUGUGUGUGAGUGUUUUAGCCUCCUCUUCAUUAAUACAGUUAGUUUUGUCAGAUCUGGGACAAAACAGAACAAUAGAGCUGAACACCAACAACACACACAAAGACGAUCGUGUAUAUUAUAUUGUGUCUGCUUCUGUUUCCCUCAUGCAGUAUUUAAUAAGAAAAUGUCCGGAGGUAAUUCUACUCCUCUCCUUCUGCUCCAAUAAUGGACCGGUAAUCGAUUAAAAUAAAGUGGAGGAACACAAAUUUAUAGUUCUUAAUUCAUAUAUUUUCUUUCUUUUUUUUUAAGUGCAGAUGCAUGAAUAAUUCUUUACAUCUUUGAAUAAUAGAUUCACAGGAAAGAGAACCA